CCGGACUGUGGUACCCGCGUACUCUCGCGGUGAGCUGAAGAACUCAGCCGGGAGCAGUCCCGGCUGUGCGAGCCUCGGCGGACCUCCAGACAAUGGAGUCCAGAGUCUUGACAGCCUAGUGCGUCCGUGGUGCCGCCCUGAGGCCGAGCGCGUGCGAGGCGGAUUCUGUCAGAUCCUUCCCUCGAGAGCAGACAGAGAAAAGGGAUCUGUUUCCCUUAGUAGGAAAACAUUUGCUUUCAAGACUCCACUUCCAGUGUGUUCAUGUUGUCUGGGCUGUUCCGCAAACUGGCCUUACUUUUUCCUUCUUAAUGCAGUAGCAUGUAGCUGAGAACAGAAAAAAGCAGUCCCUGACAUCCAGGAACUGGCUUGACACUUACAGGAACAUGAACUGACUGUCUGCCACGUGUGGGUGCUGAGACUUGAAUUGUGAUCAAGCUACAGUCCCUGACUACGAGGGAGUCCAGUCUGGAGGAGGCAAAUCUGUAACCCAGGCCACGUACCUCAACUGCAUAUCUGUCAGGAGAGCAGGAGGGGCACAGAGGAUCCUAUUCAAGGC